GUCAGGUGUGGUGUCAUGCACCUAUAAUCUCUGUUACUGGAAAGGCUGAAUUUGGUAGAUAACUUCAGAUGAGGAGUUCUGAGCUUCAACGUACUAAGCUGAUGAAUUGGAUGUCCACAGUAAGUCAUGUAUCAUUUUGGUGAACCUUUAAGAGUAGAGGGCCUCCAGGCUGCCUAAGUAGGAAUAGACCUGGCUAGGUCAGAAACAGAACAGAUCAAAGCUUCUGUGAUGAUCUGUAGUGGGAUUGGGCCCAUGACUAGCCACAUCAUCUGCAGCCUGGGUGAAAUAGGGAAAGAUUCAAUCUCAA
rnacentral:SRP_RNA from 1 species